GCGUGCACUCGUGUCUCUUCUCCGGUGGUCAUUCAGUUAUCCUCAGUCAUCUUUUUUUUUUAAGGCUACACGUGUUUCUUGUGUUUCGGCGGCUCGGUGCAAAUUCCCGGCACGCGCAACAUCUCCAGUCACACUCGCGUGCCAUCUCGAGGCGCAGUGAGUGAGCGCGUGCAGCAGCAUCAGCAGCAUCAGCAUCAGCGCCUCGUGAGAUUUUCUCCCUCGCCUCAGCGCGGCUACUCAUUUUUUUAAAUUAAUUAAUUAAUUAAUUUAUCUAUCUAUCUAUCUAUCUAUCUAUCCAACGGUCGAGCUACUGUACGUUCUGAGCGCAGCAGAAAAGACACUUGUUCUGAGGCGGGUUUGUAUCCUGAAUCAACCGGUCCGUAGGGGGAGAAACAACAACAACAACAACAUUCACACCGACUCUUCGGAAAGGACAGCGUGUCAGACACCCCGGAGCAUGGAAACCCCUCAAUUGUGACAGCACAAUGCCACCUACUACAGCGAUGGUGCAUUUUAAAGUGGAGAGCUCCAUCAAUAAAUAAUGUGCAGAGGAGUGUUGGCUGAUCAGCCUCACAGUGAUCACCUAACAACAACAACAACCCAAAAAACAAAGAAAAGAAAAAACCCGUCUCCUCACGCUCGUCCAAAUAACUCCAGUUCGUCAUCACGCUGCCGCAGCAUCUGGUGGGUCACACGGCGCGGUCGCAUCGUUCAUCUCGAGCGUACGCAUUUCACAGGUGUGAGAAAUACCAGCGUUACCUCUGGCAAGCUGCUGCAGGAAACGCACUGCCUCUGUUCAAUCUGAGAUAAAGCGGUGUUGUGUUAUCAUCACCAAAACGGAGAGGUGGAGCUGAGCAGGACGAUGAGCAGAGACGAGAACCACAGGUGAGGAAGAACUGAUAAACAGGUGAACGUUUCACACGCCUGUGGGCUUUU